UUUACUCCAAAUAGAAGCAUAAAUCUUGAAAUUUACCAUCGUUUAUCUAUUUCUUCAACAUUUUCUUGAUCGGUUAUCUUUCUUUCUUCCGAAAGAAAAAAACAAAAAAAACCUCAAAGUGUUCUUUCAGUUCUCAUGGUAAAGAUGUCAAAGCCUCAAUUCAGGUGUCUCUAAAGUAAAUCAGGAAAAUGCGAGCAAGAAAGUAGUCGAGACAAUUCUGAGUUAAACAAGGUAUGUUGUACCAAGCUGUAAGACAAAGCUACUUAAUAGCAUAAUGCAAAUAAAGGUACAGGCUUGCCACAACAAGAAGGCAUGGUAUAAAGAUAAUGUAAUUGAGGCUCUGGAUUGGUUAUGGGAGAGGCAUCGUCCAUAUGUCCUUUCUGCAGAUAUUUUUUUUAAGAGAAUAGCCAGAUUAUGUCCAUGUUGGAUGGAAAAAAAAUUCUGAUUCUGAUUAUUUCUUUUAAUUCAAUACGAAACAUUGUUGCGAAGUA